CUAUACCCUUUGUGACCUACCUAUUUGUUGCUUCGGCGGCUCGGCCCCUCGCCGGGUUGGCCGCCGGAGGUACCUAAACUGAUUGCCUUUUGGCGUGGAUUAUCUUCUGAGUCUUCAUUUACGAAUGAAUUAAAACUUUCAACAACGGAUCUCUUGGUUCUGGCAUCGAUGAAGAACGCAGCGAAAUGCGAUAAGUAAUGUGAAUUGCAGAAUUCAGUGAAUCAUCGAAUCUUUGAACGCACAUUGCGCCCGCUAGUACUCUGGCGGGCAUGCCUGUUCGAGCGUCAUUUACACCCCUCGGGCCACCGCUUCUGGCGGAGCAGCCCGGUGUUGGGGCAUUACGUACCUGGCUUUCGGGCCCGGCGUAAGCCCUGAAAUGCAGUGGCGGGUCGACCUCUCGUCUCCUUUACGCAGUAACCUUCAAGAAGCUCGUACUGGGAUGGGGCCGUGUCUUGCCGUAAAACAACCCAUUUAUCACAAUGUUGACCUCGGAUCAGGUAGGGAUACCCGCUGAACUUAAGCAUAUCA
rnacentral:rRNA from 1 species